UAGUAAUGAUGUGUAUUUAUAAUAUACAUAAUUAUUUGUCAACUUACCGUGUAGUUUAAUUGCUUGUCUGGAUUGUGCACGGCUUGGAUAUAAUUGUGAAACUCGACAUGCGCCAAAUGUACUGUAUAGAUACUACUGUACACUGCACAUUUACACUGGUUCACUUUCGCUGCUUGAUUCAACAAGUUGUUUACAUUCUUUUACACUAUGGAGGAGCACUUCAACGCAUCUGGCUCGUUAAAGCCUUUCAACGUACAUCUGAUGGUCUACUGCGUGCAUGCUUAUGCGUGCGUGCAGAUCAACUGGAAAAAGUCCGCCAGGGUCGCUGCAAAUUUCUUUCCACUGGAGCCAAAGCCACAUUUCUGUUAACGAUUGCUCCGCUAAUUGCAGAAUUUAUGAAUUUCUUGUACCCGAAUUUCGGGGGUGCUACAAGCAACGAGGACUCGAGUGGAAAAAGUUGGCCUGAAC